rnacentral:rRNA from 1 species
GAUGAACGCUAGCGGCAGGCCUAAUACAUGCAAGCCGAACGGCAAGAACUUUAGCAAUAGAGUUCCUAGAGUGGCGUAAGGGUGCGUAACACGUAUGCAAUCUGCCCUCAACAGGAGGAUAGCUCCCCGAAAGGGGAAUUAAGACUCCAUAAGAUCAUUUUAUGGCAUCAUGAGAUGAUUAAACUACCAGGGGUUGAGGAUGAGCAUGCGCAUGAUUAGUUAGUUGGCGGGGUAACGGCCCACCAAGACGAUGAUCAUUAGGGGAACUGAGAGGUUUGAUCCCCCACACUGGC